AUAUUUAACUUCACACCAUGCCAAGUGUCUGAAGAUUUCUAAGACUCUGAUUUAUGCUUGAGUUAGACUCCUAUUUUUUUUAAAAGUCUCCCGUCCAUGUGUAUCGAUGCUUCGUCUGUCCAGGAGAAAUGUGGAAUCUAAGUCCACCCGUGUCUCAGAGAAACCCUGAUUUCAAACUCGGAAUCGCACUGGCCCAUCAUGUGGCCUGCCGGCGGAACUGAGAAAGAGGCCAUGUGGUUUGGUGGCAGCAGUAGGACGAAAGUAAGGUGACUCAGCAGCGUUCUGUGUGGAACACAGUGCAGGGCAGCUCUGAGGAGCAGCAACCACCAGCCUCCCCCGAGCCUGGAGGCGGCCCUGGCUGGGAGGAGGGAGGGGAAGAAAGCUCCUAUGGUGGGACCUGCUCAGGCCAUGUCAGUGGCCUUGGGGAAACUGUGCACAAGUUCUGGGGACUGGAACGUGUGAUGUCAUCCUAGUAUUAAAAGUUCCUUGUAACCUCAGUUAACAUAUUUUAAGGUGGGGAAGGACCAGGUAUUGCCUGCCCAGGGGUCUAGGCAAGGUCUUGAGCCUACAGCCUUGAAAUUCAAUUUCUAGGUGGCAACUGGAAUCCUUCAUGAAGCACAGGCCACGGGUAGGAGUGUUAUGCACAUUUUUAGAAAUAGAGCAGUUUAUUGCAACAAUAUAUCUUCAGUCUACUGGUCCUACUGUUAAACUUAGUAUCAAUAUAUUUUGAAAGAGGAUUCAUAUAAAUAUGCAGUUGCUGUUACCUCUAAUGACUCGAAAGUCUUGCACCAAAAAUUCUCAUGAAAGGGAUCUUAAGAGUUUAUUCAUUUGCUUGUUCAUUCAUUCAUCCCUUCUUUCAAUCAACUAAUCUGCAACUUAUCAUCCUUUAAAGAAAUGGCUUACAUUCUCUGAGGAGGAGCUGGCGGUGUCCUGAGCAGACAGAAGUCAGGAGACUGGUGUGUGAGCCCCAUUUUCACUGGGACUUAACUGUGAAAUCUCAGGAAAGUUUCCAGAAGAUGGAUAAAAAUUCUUU